rfam:Streptococcus sobrinus W1703 genomic scaffold Scaffold594, whole genome shotgun sequence.
AAGUCCUUUAAAACUGUCCAGAGAGGCAGGCAAGGAGACACAAAGAAGACAGUGGAAGUUCCAAUAGCCAACGGGUUCAGUCUAGCUAGUUUUAGUCGGACUGUUUGAAAGAUGGAGGACUACUGUAUAUGCUUGAGCUGACAUAGCCAAGCUAGAAUUGGUCCAAUCUCCUUGCGUUUUGCAGGGAGAUUUUUUGUU